GAUUGGAGUUAAUUCCUGUCCAGCCUCUCCACUUCAGUUUUCAUCCUUCCCAAAGGAAGCAGCUCCCACUAAAAGCUCCUUUGCUGCUGGUAUGGGAGGUGAUGUUUUAUGAAGAAUGCCCUAAAAUUGUUUGUGAGGUUUAACAUUGAAGACUUUUCAUUCAUUUACAGCAGGUGUUUCCACGCACGAGAUGGAGAACCCAAACCUAUAAAACUGCCUCUGUGUGUGAGGGAAAGGCCAAGGAAAAUGGAAUUAAAGCUAUAAAAAUGCUUUAUGUUAAUAAAAGAGGGACAGAGAAAACCACAGCCCCAGGAUGUCACGGGAGAGAGGCGGGAAUUAGCAGCUCCUGCGACACCCUCUCUGGACAGGCAGGAGCAGGAGACAGGAGCAGCUGCUGUGGCAUGCACUGAAUGCCAACGAGCUCGGCAGGGUGCGUGCCGAGGAAAGGUCCCUUUGUAAACACGCCUGGUGAUCAAAGGGCUGGUGCUUGCUGAUAUUUUCAACAUUAAUAAUCUCCCAGCUGCCUCCCUCGAUUCUCUGGCUGCCUGUUUACCUCUCCUUCAUGGUACAUGGAGUGGCAGAGCUUAAAACAAUCGGCUGGCUGGAGGGAAGGGAGGUGGUCGGGUGCAGGAAUUCACCUGAAGGAAGAAAUAAAUGUAUUGGCAUUGCACAGAAAAGCAUCAAAUAUGUAUUAAAAAAAAAUCUUUGUAUUGUCAUAUAACACUCCUGGCACAGACUGAGAGGCAUCUAGAGAUGUGUGCAUGCAUACGAAAAUGAGGAAUAUUCACAGUGCAGGUACUGCACGUGUCUCUGUGCCUCUCCUGCUUUGCUGCCCAGCACGCAGCGAUGGAUGGAGUCCGGGAAUCCAAACGUAAGUGGUUCAUCAAUAAAACAGGAAAAUUACUGCCCAAACUGAACACCCAUGCAAGGUGCUCCCAGCAGAAUGUGGCAUUCACAUUUUCUGGACAAAUCCUUGGCCCUGGGAAGCUGA